GACGGAACCGGCCAGUCCCGCGGGACGCC
rnacentral:sRNA from 1 species